ensembl:lncRNA
AGGGGAGAUGCAGAGGAAGGAGAAAAAACACUGUUGCCUCAGCUAAGAUUCCAUUACUUCUAUCAGCUGGGACAACUGUAGCCCCAGCUGCUGGAGGUGUCAGAGAAGAUCUUUAUCUGCAAGAGUGCCUAAAUGUAAGACUCAUAUCAGGAUCUUCACACAGUUUGAGCCGUUAAAUUCUUGUGCUGUGGAAAACCAAGAGAUGAGAAGAACUGAAAAAAAUAAGAGACAGGGUUCCUGUGGAUCUGUGCCACUUCCUUGGAGGAGGCUGCCAAAUGCAAAACAAGGCCUAUGAAGUUUCCUAGUUCUCUGUGUAUCGACUCAAGCAGAAGGCAGAAAGACUUCACAGUGAAGGAGGAUCAACACAACAUGCUACUGCUGUGUCAUCACUCAACUCCUAGAGAACACAAUGGAAAACUUCUGAUUAAUGACUUGGAGAGUUGGAG